CCUACGGGUGGCAGCAGUGAGGAAUAUUGGUCAAUGGGCGCGAGCCUGAACCAGCCAAGUCGCGUGAGGGAAGACGGUCCUAUGGAUUGUAAACCUCUUUUGUCGGGGAGCAAAAUACGCCACGUGUGGCGUUCUGUGAGUACCCGACGAAAAAGCAUCGGCUAACUCCGUGCCAGCAGCCGCGGUAAUACGGAGGAUGCGAGCGUUAUCCGGAUUUAUUGGGUUUAAAGGGCGCGUAGGCGGAGUGGUAAGUCAGGGGGGAAAUUGGCGGGCUCAACCUCUUCGGGGCGGUUGAAACUGGUAGUCUUGAGUAAGGGAGAGGUAGGCGGAAUGCGUGGUGUAGCGGUGAAAUGCGUAGAUAUCACGAAGAACUCCGAUUGCGAAGGCAGCAUACCGGAGAGCAACUGACGCUGAGGCACGAAAGUGUGGGUAUCGAACAGGAUUAGAUACCCCUGUAGUC
rnacentral:rRNA from 1 species